rnacentral:rRNA from 1 species
AACCCCUGUGAACAUACCAACUGUUGCCUCGGCGGAUCAGCCCGCUCCCGGUAAAACGGGACGGCCCGCCAGAGGACCCCUAAACUCUGUUUCUAUAUGUAACUUCUGAGUAAAACCAUAAAUAAAUCAAAACUUUCAACAACGGAUCUCUUGGUUCUGGCAUCGAUGAAGAACGCAGCAAAAUGCGAUAAGUAAUGUGAAUUGCAGAAUUCAGUGAAUCAUCGAAUCUUUGAACGCACAUUGCGCCCGCCAGUAUUCUGGCGGGCAUGCCUGUUCGAGCGUCAUUUCAACCCUCAAGCCCAGCUUGGUGUUGGGACUCGCGAGUCAAAUCGCGUUCCCCAAAUUGAUUGGCGGUCACGUCGAGCUUCCAUAGCGUAGUAGUAAAACCCUCGUUACUGGUAAUCGUCGCGGCCACGCCGUUAAACCCCAACUUCUGAAUGUUGACCUCGGAUCAGGUAGGAAUACCCGCUGAACUUAAGCAUAUCAAUA